rnacentral:rRNA from 1 species
CCGGGGUUAGUGGCGCACGGGUGCGUAACGCGUGGGAAUCUGCCCUUUGGUUCGGAAUAACUCAGGGAAACUUGAGCUAAUACCGGAUGAUGACUUCGGUCCAAAGAUUUAUCGCCAAAGGAUGAGCCCGCGUAGGAUUAGCUAGUUGGUGAGGUAAAAGCUCACCAAGGCGACGAUCCUUAGCUGGUCUGAGAGGAUGAUCAGCCACACUGGGACUGAGACACGGCCCAG